AUCUACUCACAGUGCUUGGGUGGAGGUAUGUGUCUGGGGCCGUGGGCGUGCGUUUCGUGCGUGCGUUCUCGUGCUUGAGCGCUUCCUCUGUUGCUCACCUCUGUGCUCUUACUCGGAGGGGGUGACUUCUGUGUCACCUUGAGUAAAUCAUGGUGCUCACAGCAGUCGUGCGGGCCCUGUGCCCUGUGAACAGUCUAUGCGGACUGAAUUGGUUUUGCAAGGCAUGACGAAACAUGACGUCGCUGCUGGUCGCGAGUGUGAGGGCGUAGUCCUCGUGGCUGCGCCGAGCGGUUUGCCAGUAGUGACGUAAUGAUCAAUGGAGACGGUAGCUGGCAUUGGUAUUGCGCGGCGAGAGGUGAAAUUCUGCGACCCCCGCAAGACCUCCUAAAGCGAAGGCGUCUGCCAAGGACGUGUUCACCAAUCAUGAACGAAAGUCAGAGGAUCGAAGGCGAUCAGAUACCGCCCUAGUUCUGACCCUAAACGAUGCCAACCAUCAAUCCGCGUGAGCACCCUAUCUAACGGGCUCGGCGGGCAGCUCCCUUCUUCCGGGAAACCAGAGUUUUUGGGUUCCGGGGGGAGUCUGGUUGCAAAGCU
rnacentral:rRNA from 1 species